rnacentral:rRNA from 1 species
CCUACGGGUGGCAGCAGUGAGGAAUAUUGGUCAAUGGGCGUAAGCCUGAACCAGCCAAGUCGCGUGAGGGAUGAAGGUUCUAUGGAUCGUAAACCUCUUUUAUAAGGGAAUAAAGUGUGGGGCGUGUCCUAUUUUGUAUGUACCUUAUGAAUAAGGAUCGGCUAACUCCGUACCAGCAGCCGCGGUAAUACGGAGGAUCCGAGCGUUAUCCGGAUUUAUUGGGUUUAAAGGGUGCGUAGGCGGCCUUUUAAGUCAGCGGUGAAAGUCUGUGGAUCAACCAUAGAAUUGCCGUUGAAAGUGGGGGGGUGGAGUAUGGUGGAGGGAGGGGGAAUGCGUGGAGUAGCGGUGAAA